GCGCGAUGGUUUUUGGUGAUUAUCCGGCGGAGUACAAUUCGAAGAUCCACGGACCUUACGAUCCUGCCCGUUACUACGGCAA
rnacentral:lncRNA from 1 species